CCAGAGUGCUUUCUUGGGUUCCGAUUCACCUCUCUUCAUGUUGUUGUGAUCUUUUCGCUUCAACAUCCUGAUUCCGUAACGAUGCAUCUCAAAAUAAAUAAAAAAUCGCUCAUCCUUGCAUUGGAUCAGGUCUAUAAAAUGGCUAAUCCGAAUCGCAAUGAACAUCAAUUCCAGUCGAAAAUAUCGGAAUGGGGUGAAUUACAACCCAUAAUAAUGGGUUAGGAUAACUUUGUCUAUACUUUAAGGGGUUUAGGUACAUGAGAUAAGAAAAGGUCUAAAGAACAGACUAAAUGGCAUCUCAAAUCAAUAUCACACCACAGCAGGUACCAUCUUCAGCUGCCCAGGACAAGUUGAAGAGUUUACGAUCACUUGACGAAGGAAAAUCAAGUGGCGUUACUGUUCGUGUUGCCAGGAAACGGGAAGAAUUGGAUUUUAUGUCCGCCAAUGACGUUACCAGCGUCGAUACGGUUAUUGUUGAUGAGCAGAUUGCUUCAAUUGUUCUUUCCCCGUAUAAACACGAGGUCAAGGUGUAUUUCCGUUUGAUAUUUCUAAAAUGUACCCAUCUAUUGGAGCCACUUCAGAUAAUGGAAAGGCACGCAUAAGCUAACACAGUUGUCAAAGGAAUUGAAGGUACCCAUGUAUUCGGAUUGGUUGUAUAUGCCUAUUCUUUAUUUCCUAUUAUUUAUUCAUCACCUGUCAAACUUUUGUUUAAGAACUACAACAUCCAUUAUGCCUAUUUUGCUUUUGUUUAGCAAAUUAUUCUUCCCUUUUUAGAUACCGCCUAUGGUUCUCGCACACACACAUAUACAUUUUUGGAAUUUAAGGUGCAUCAAGAAGUUGAGUGUUUAAUAGACGAGCAUCCAAUACCGCAAGGAAACUUAAGAGGAAACAAAGCCUUUUAUUUCUUUUUCUUUUCAUGGUUUUCAUUGUUUACGGGAACUCACAAAAAUUUCGUUUCAUGUUUUCGCCUUUAAAAUUAUUAGGUUUAUAUAUCUAUGGGAUAUAUGGUAAGAUUUCCAUGUUUUCGCCUUUAAAGUUAUUAAGUUUAUAAAUCUCUGAUAUGUAGUCAAAUUUCCUUCAACUAGACAUGGCAUAUCAAGAUAGAAAUUAGAUUUGCUAACUAAUGAAGGAGACCUGAUAUUUCAUAGUUACCAAGAAAUGAAGAAGCAGGCUUAAUAAAUGCUAUCACAGAUUAGCUAAAGAUCUUUUGUUCUAACUAGCAUGCUACAUGCAUUUAAGGCUUCAUAUUUUGGUCAAUAAUUUAUGGUUAUGGUUCUAUUUCCCUUAGAAUCCUUUUAAGUCGGCGUGGAACCUGAUGGAAUUCUUUAAAGGUUAAAACUUUCUUAUAUUCAUUUUUUUUAGUUAAGAGUGGCCAUGGCGUCAUGAGUAAUGUAGAUCCUGUUGCACAACAAAAUUUUCAGCUUAUUUGGAUACGGGAUUUCCUUAAUUUGAUCUCUGUGUAUACUGUAACACCAGAAAGAGUAUCAACCUAUGUGUAUUCACUUUUUUUUUAUGUGCAUUACAAUGUUUCAGUAUUUAGAUUAAUUAUUGUUAUUACUGUCGGAAGAGGAUGAACUUCUAGGGGGUUACAAGAAACAAGAGUACAACUUCUGGGGGUUACAGUAUUUGGAUUCUACGCUAAAAUUGUCAGACCAUUCAGGUGCUUCUCCUUCCUCAAUACAUAGAAACACUCUAUGGUAUCCCAAAUCAGUCGCAGCUCAAGUUACUAAGAGAUCGGUAGAGGUGAACUUCAUUGUCUACCAAGGAAAGAGGUUGCUCACCAAAAACCACAGCUUAUUUUACAAGUAUCGCUGCCAACAGGAUCGAUGUAUACUCAAGUGAUUCCAUCAACUGGGUUAGUUAUCAUUCUGGAGGCAUGUAACAUUUUUAGCACAGAGAUUAAGAUUUAUCUGUCGAUCCCAGUAUGCAGUAGGAGUUGAUGAUAUCCAGUAAUUCCUCAUGUAUCCGUCUAACAUGAUAUGUAUUACCUAUGUCCAUCUAAGCUUCAUAACUGCGUAGCUUAUUUAUAGAUAUUAUGAAGCAUAGUUCGAUAAAUAGUGGUAAAUAUAAUGAUAUAAUUCGUCUG